rnacentral:lncRNA from 1 species
GGGGGCACCUCCCUCAAGCCCUAGACGCCCUAGUGCUGGGAGGAGGGAGGCACCCCAUCAUAGCACCUAGCGAUUGGUGCUGAUGUUUGCUGCCUUCAGAGAGACUGGAUCUAUCGCAGGUCUUCUUAAGUUCACACAUAAGAUCAGGGGUUUCAACAUGGUAUCAGAGCAGCGCAACAGGUUGAGUUGCGCAGCGAGUUGAGCGAUGCCAUGGGUCCUUAACAACAUCACUAUGAAGAAGAAUGAAUUGCUGGAAAAAAUUAAUUACCU